GAUGAAGAACGUAGCGAAAUGCGAUAAGUAAUGUGAAUUGCAGAAUUCCGUGAAUCAUCGAAUCUUUGAACGCACAUUGCGCCCUCUGGUAUUCCGGGGGGCAUGCCUGUCCGAGCGUCAUUUGCAACCCUCAAGCCCGGCUUGUGUGAUGGGUGCCGUCCCCUACGGGACGCGCCCCGAAGGCAAUGGCGGCGUCGCGGUUAUCCGUUCAGCCAAAGUGUAUGGGGCUUUGUCACUCACUUUACGGCCCGGACCGGCGCCAGUCCGAAUCAAUCUUUUUUCUAAAGUUGACCUCGGAUCAGGUAGGGAUACCCGCUGAACUUAAGCAUAUCAAUAAGCGGAGGA
rnacentral:misc_RNA from 1 species